UCACCAUCCAGAGCGGCCGAGAGAUCUGGCUCGACGACGCCGCAGCAACCCGGGCGACGGCAUCCCCGUCCCGCCUCCGGUGCUACCGCCAGGAUCGAUGGAAA
rnacentral:ncRNA from 1 species